GGCCAAUGUGCUAAAAGCACUCUUUAUGACCCUAUCUACCUCUGAUGCCAUUUUCAAGGAAGUAUAGAUCUAUUCCCAGAUCCCUCUGUUCUGUUGCACUCCUCAUUCACUGUAAGUUCCUCCAGCAUUUUGUGUGUUGCUUUGGAUUUCCAGAAUCUGCAGAAUAUCUUUGGUUUAUUGUAAUGGUUUAUUGUAAUGGUUUCCUUUCUUCGACUGGUGCUUAAAGUGGUGGGAGCCAAAGUUCAGGCUGAAGCUGGAGUUAAAGGCCAUGUAAUUCAUGGCUGAAGGCAUCUGUGGUAAUUGGAACCAGUGGAGUCCGUGAUCUGGAGAUGGGUGAUUUUCUGAUCCUACCAAGAUGCGAAGAAGGCCUGGAUCAUGUGGGGAUGAAAUUUCGGAGACGUCCAUGACAGGCAGAGGAGAGAGAGGCCUGGAGGUGUCUGCAUAGCGGAGAGGGUGGAGGCUGAAAUACAAAGGGGAGGAAGAUCAGGACUCUGCUCCUGUGAAAUGAUUCAUCAGCCUUGGACUACAAAACUUUGGAGAUAUGCUGAAUUGUCACGGCAGCUGGCAGGUUGAAAUGAUGAAGUUUGUCGUCUUCGCACACUGGUUGAACAUCCAAGUUGGUGUGGUCCUUCAUUGAUUCUGUUAUGGAUUAAUUGAGUAUGCCCACAAGAAAUGAAUCUCAGGGUUGUAUAUGAUGACAUAUAUGUACUUUGGUAAUAAAUUUACUUCAAACUUUGAACUUUGGAAACUUAUAGCUCAACUUUCCAAAUGAUUGUGGGUCUGUUCUGAUGCAAUGAACAGUUACUAUAGCAGCAGCAUCCAAACCUCAUCAUCACUUGUGAAUUCCUUUGUGAGACUCUAGAUGAGAGAAUUGAGUGAAACGCUUUCCACAUAUGGAGCAGAUGAAUGGCUUCUCUCUGGUGUGAACUCGUUGGUGUAUCAACAGGGUGGACGAACAAGUGAAUCCCUUUCCACACACAGAACAGGUAAACGGCCUCUCCCCGGUGUGAAUUUGCUGGUGUUUAAGCAGGUUAGAUGAACAAUGAAUCCCUUUCCACAUAUACAGCAUGUAAAUGGCCUCGCUCCUGUUUGAACCAGCCCAUGUAUCUGCAAAUGGGUUGACUGAGUGAAUCUCUUUCCACACACUGUACAAGUGAAAGGCCUUUCCCCAGUAUGAAUACAUUGAUGCUUAAGCAUAUCCUCUGAACUUUUAAAGCUCUUCUCACAGUCUGAACAAUUAAAUGUUCUCUCAUCAGUGUGGACACACUGGUGCAUCUUUAAAUGGGGUGACUGUGUGAAUCCUCUCCCACACACAUUAUACGUGAAUGGCUUCUCUCCUGUGUGAAUACGCUGGUGCCUCAGCACAACCUCUGAGCUUUUAAAACUCUUCUCCCAGUGAGAACAGUUGAAUGUCCUCUCUUCAGUGUGGACUUGCUGAUGCGACCGUAGGUGAGAUGACUGAAUGAAUCCUUCCCGCACACUGCACAGGAAAACAGCCUCUCUCCGGUAUGAAUUCACUGGUGUUGCAGGAGGUCAGAUAGCUGACUGAAUCCCUUCUUGCAUGAGGAACAGGUGUAUGGUCUCUCCCCAGUAUGGAGUCACUGAUGUCUUAGAUGGUCAAACAACUGAGCAAAUCUCUUCCCGCACACCGUGCAGGUGAAUGGUCUCUCCUUGGCGUGAGCACUCUGAUGGACAAUUGAAUCCCUUAUCGUGGUCCGCACAUUUACUCAGAUUCUCCAUGGUUAGAACGUUUCUGUGUCUCUUCAGGUUGGAUGAUUAGUUAAAUCCUCACCCACACACACACUAUUUCUCCCCACUCUGAAUGGCUGAAUAAUUUGCCGCACCUCUUCCCACAGUCAAUGCAGAUUUUACUUGUGUGCCUCCAAGCUUGUCCAAUCACAAUGUGCAAAACCUUUUCCAAAAACAUGACAAAUAAAUAUUUCUUCUGUUCUUUUCAAAGGCCAGUCAUAUUUAGUUCCUGAUAAAUUGUGCCAUAGUUCAAUACUGAAGUCUGGUUUGUAUUUCCCAUCUAUCUAUCUUCUUAUAGUAUCCUGUAGAAAGAAUUUUCCAAAUUUAUCACCAAGUACAGAGAAGUAAUUCAGAACAGUUAAUUCUACUUGAAUGAAAUUUACAUUCUACUCAUUUGGCACACAUUUAAAUUCCAUCUCACGCAUUCUCCUUCCUUCCUGUACUUAAAUUCAAAUUUAUUACUUCCCUAAACUUUAUUUCCAUCGUUUCUCUUUACUGGAUGUACUGACCUGGUAUAUUCACCUAUUAACCACCAGCUUGGACUCCUUUCCCUCCCCAACCUUCUUAUUCUGGCUUCUUUCCAGUCCUAAUGAAGGGUUUCAGACCAAGACAUUGACUAUUUAUUCCCCUCCAUAGAUACUGCCUGGCCUGUAGAGUUCCUCCAGCAUUUUGCGUGUGUUCCUCAGAAAAAUCUCUCCUGUUCAGUUCAUAAUUGCCUGAUUUCAGUCUCACAGUGAAGGACUGAGAAGUGAAUAAGAUCAUGGGCCAGAAAUGGCAGGAAGAGUUGCUUCUCUGAAUCAGACAUUAGAAAACUGACCAAGCUGAUGGUAGGUGGUAAAAUACUGUGAAUCAGAGAAAUACAGUUCUGUAAUUGUAGUACCACAGACUAAUGACAGUUUAUUUUUAUAUUAACUUUUUGGGAACUGAGAUUUGUUAGUUGUACUUUUCAAUUAAGGUGCAUUCACCAUGCUCAUGGGAAAGGAGUUCCAGGAUUUAAACACAGUGAUGAAAGAAUCUCAAUGUAUUUCCAAGUCAUGAUGGAAUGCAACCUGCCAGUGAAAGUCGCAUCACUGUCUAGUAUAGAGAAACCACUGCACAGGAUUGGAAAAAGCUGCAAAGCUCAGCCAGUUCUAGCAUGAGCAUUGACCAUUGCCAUUGACCAUUGACUUCACCAUUGAGGACAUCUUCAGAAGGCAAUGCCUCAAAAAGGUGGCAUCCAUCAUGCCCUCUUCUCAUUACUGCCAUUAGAGAGAAGGUACAGGAGCCUGAAGACACACUUUCAGCCUUUUCGGAACAGCUUCCUUCCCUCCUCCAUCAGAUUUCAGAAUGAACAAUGGACCCAGGAACACUACCUCACUAGUUUAACUCCCCAUUUGGACUACUUAUUCAAUUUUUUAAUAUAAUAGUGUAAGUCAUAAUAUAUUUUAUGUUUUGCAAAAGCAGAACAGAGCAAUACAACAACUUUCACGGCAUAUAUCAGUGAUAAUAGGCCUGAUUCUCAUUCUGAUUUGGCUGGUGAGGGUGUUCCCAUUGAAAUACAACUUUCAGCAAGCAACAGUUUUUAAUGUGAUAUCAUUGUUGGUGAAAUAAAUACCAAUUGGAGAACUUGGGACAUAAGGUUGGACAAAUCUCAAAUUCAUGGCAAGGGUAAUGAGAUUUUGAAAAGAUAAAACCAAAGGCAUACUUGCAACAGAAUAUUUCACAGGUAUAGUAAGAUUUAAAUAACAAGUGUUCAGCAAGAAUACUUGGAGUGUUCAGCAAGAAUACUUGGAGUGUUCUUGUACUUUUGACUUCAAGAUCUAAUAACAGAAAAAUGCAACCCAUCCCAGAUUAGCUGAGGGUCUAUAAUAUAAAAUAAAAAAUGGGAUUUGGUAAGUCUAAGUGCCAAAAGGGACAUAUUCUGAUUAGAGUUCCAGUCACAUCUAAUUGUAUGAUAUUAGGUACCACAUAGAGUCUCUUUUAAUCCUCAAUGAUCCAAGAAUUUCAUUGAUUUUAAGGUGCUAAAAUGAUUGUAAUGCAGUAAAUAUAGUAAUGCAAAAGUCUUGGGUACACGUAAAACAGUUCCGUUUCGCGGAAAUAUAGCUUAAAAUAUAGCUUAGAAUAGCUUAAGAAUAAUGAAACGAAAAGCUUCUAAAUAUCAAAAACAAAAUUGCAGCAAAGUGUAAAAAACUGAACAAAAAUCAAUAUGUGGUUUAACUGUCCUUUGCUUUUAAAACCGCUUCGAUUCUUAUAGGUAGCCUGUCGUGCACUUUUAUAAGAAAAUUGGCUGGUAGGUUGUUUCAAGCAUCUUGGAGAACUUACCACAGUCUUUCUGCAGACUGUGGCCAUCCCACUUGCUUCUGUCUGUCCAGGUAAUUCUAGACAGUCUCAAUGAUGUUGAGAGUAGGGAUCUGUGGAAGUCAUACAAUCUGUUAGAGAACUCGUUCUUCUUUUGACUUAGGAUAGUUCUUUAUGACCUUGGCCAUGUGCUUGGGGACAUUGUUCUGCUGCAGAAUGAAGUUGGGACCAAUCAGAUGCCUCCCUGAUGGUACCGUGUGAUGGAUGCGAACCUGCUUGUACUUCUCAGCAUUGUGGAUUCCAUUAAUUCUGACCAGAUCACCAACGCCAUUUGCAGAAAUGCAAACCCAUCCUGCAGGGAACUUGUGCCAUGCUUCACUGUUGGCUGCAAAUACGAUUUCAUGCAGCACUCUCCAGCUCUUCUAUGAACAAACUGCUUCCUGAUUGAGCCAAAAAUUUCAAAUUUUGACUCGUCAGCCCAGAGCACUUGCUGCCAUUGUCCAGCACCCCCGUCCUUGUGUUUUUGUGUGGAUAUGAGUCUCUUGGCCUUGCUUCCACUUUGAAGGAACAGUUUCUGGCAGGAACUCUUCUAUGAAGACCACUUCUGACAUCUUUCCAGACUGGAAAGGGGUGUCUUUGGUUUCCCAUGUUUUCUGAGCGUUCAGAGCAAAUAGCAGGGCUGAACUUCUUCCGAUUCAGUUUGAUGUAUCUCUUGUCUGCUGCACUCAGUUUCAUGCCCAACCACCAUGCUUGUGAUCCUCAACCUUGCCGCCUCUUUGAGCUUCCUCUGAAGAGCCUGGACAGCACAUCAUGAAGUUCCUGCCUGCUUGGUGAUGCAGGAAGACCACUUCAUGGUUUGUUGCUCUGCCGAUUCUUGUUAUGGUGUGAGAGCUGAUGAUUUAAAUGUUAAGCUGUCACAUUUGCCACAGCAUUAUCUUUUAGUUUGGUUGUCCUUCGCCCAUGUUGAUUCUUUCUACACCCGUUUCUGUUUCAUUCAGCUCAUUAUUCAAAGAUUGAAAGCACAUUUAUCAUCAAAGAAUGUAUAAAUUAUACACCUUGAAAUUUGUCCUAAAGCUAGAAACUCAAAUAACCAAGUGUCCUGACACUCCGGCUUCCAGCCUAUCUGUGCCGACUUUUAAACUGUCCAAGUAAUAAGUAGUGCCACGUUCUGGGACCAAAUCCAUUACAUUAUUCGUUAUUAGCACUUGUUUAUUAUCUUUGUUUAAUCAUACACUGGGCUAUGUAUCUACAAUGUGCUUAGGAGGACGAUGGCGCCUAACGGCGACUCCUUUGCUUGCAUCUUCGGAAACAGCUCUAUUUCUAUCUCCGUUAUCUUUUUUUUUCCUUUUCGGGGUUCUUUCGAAGACCCUGACCUGGGGUUACACGCUGACUUUGGUUCUUUGCGGGAAUGGGGCCUGCUCUCGGGGCUUCAAGACCCGUCACUUUUCAAUAUGCCAAGGACGUGAUCUGGAAGACUAGCGCAGCUUCAGGUGCCGGAUUUUCAUGGCUCUGAAGGCAGGUGCCGCCGCCUGAUGUGUUGUGGGAGUACGCGGAAGAUUGAAGGCAGCAAGCUGUCUGCAGGGUGUGUGCCCGGAGACCUAAGCUCUUUGGGCACAGAGCUCGGAAGCAGACUUUUAGGACUAUAAAUCAGUGAGUUGUUUUGUUAUGUUUCCCCUCUCACUGUGAAAUGGGGACACCUCUUUUUCCUUUAUUAGGGAGAGGGAGAAUGAGCAAUCUUUGGGGUACUGCAAGUCUAUGUCUUUAUAGAUGCUUUGUUGCACACUUGAGUGCUCGGUGAGGGGUGCCGAUGCUUUUUUGCUUGUGGGGGGCCUCAUUACUUUGC